GCCUAAAGCGUCCGUAGCCGGCUCUGUUAGUUUUCGGUUAAAUCCAUAUGCUCAACAUAUGGGCCGCCGGGAAUACUACAAAGCUAGGGAGUGGGAGAGGUAGACGGUACUCCGUAGGAAGGGGUAAAAUCCUUUGAUCUAUGGAUGACCACCAGUGGCGAAGGCGGUCUACCAGAACACGUUCGACGGUGAGGGAUGAAAGCUGGGGGAGCAAACCGGAUUAGAUACCCGGGUAGUCCCAGCUGUAAACUAUGCAAACUCAGUGAUGCAUUGGCUUGUGGCCAGUGCAGUGCCGCAGAGAAGUCGUUAAGUUUGCCGCCUGGGAAGUACGUACGCAAGUAUGAAACUUAAAGGAAUUGGCGGGGGAGCACCACAAGGGGUGAAGCCUGCGGUUCAAUUGGAGUCAACGCCAGAAAUCUUACCCGGAGAGACAGCAGAAUGAAGGUCAAGUUGAAGCCUUUACCAGACAAGCUGAGAAGUGGUGCAUGGCCGUCGCCAGCUCGUGCCGUGAGGUGUCCUGUUAAGUCAGGUAACGAGCGAGAUCCUUGCCUCUAGUUGCUACCAUUACUCUCAGGAGUAGUGGGGCGAAUUAGCGGGACUGCCGUAGUUAAUACGGAGGAAAGAGAGGGCCACGGCAGGUCAGUAUGCCCCGAA
rnacentral:rRNA from 1 species